rnacentral:rRNA from 1 species
UACGUAGGUGGCAAGCGUUGUUCGGAAUUAUUGGGCGUAAAGGGCGCGUAGGCGGUCUUGUAAGUCAGCUGUGAAAGCCCCCGGCUCAACUGGGGAGGGUCACGCGAUACUGUUCGACUCGAAGGCAGGAGAGGGAAGCGGAAUUCCCGGUGUAGUGGUGAAAUGCGUAGAUAUCGGGAGGAACACCAGUGGCGAAGGCGGCUUCCUGGCCUGUUCUUGACGCUGCGGCGCGAAAGCUAGGGUAGCAAACGGG